AGCUACGGCCAUAUGCGCGGAAAAGUGCCGCUUCCCGUCCGAUCAGCGCAGCGAAGCCCGCGACAGCCCAGUCAGUACUAGCGUGAGAGAUCAGCUGGGAAUACUGGGAAUACUGGGUGCUGUAGUUU
rfam:Gonapodya prolifera JEL478 unplaced genomic scaffold M427scaffold_93, whole genome shotgun sequence.